CAACAGACUGGGGAAGCAAAUUCCAUUGUAUUAUAGUUUGUGGAAAAAAGGACCAUUUGUAUGUUUCUUUUGAUGCUUAUGAUACUAUCGUCAGCAAAGAGCCUUAGUUUACUAUGAUGGAGAUAUUCAGGGAAGUCAUUUAUAUAAAUAAGAAAAAGGAUAGGUCCAAGGACUGUUCCCUGGGGCACUCCAGAAGUGACAGAUACAGAAGUGGAGGAAAUGCCAUUUAUUACUACUGUUUGUGUUCUAUCUGAUAGAAAAUCAUGAAUCCAGUUUAAUGUCUGUUGUCUUAUACCAUAGAAUUUUAAUUUGUACAGGAGGCGACGAUGGGGAACCUUAUCGAAGGCUUUAGCAAAGUCCAUUAUGAUUAAGUCAGUUUGUAUGUUGUUAUUGUUUUUGUAUGUUAGUUCUUGGAUAAAAUCUAUUAAUUGUGA